UCGCGGCGGUGCGCGCAGAAGGGUCUGGGCCUGAGCCUGCCUGGAGCCGCCGCCGGUGCAGAUCUUGGUGGUAGUAGCAAAUACUCCAGCGAGGCCCUGGAGGACUGAUGUGGAGAAGGGUUUCGUGUGAACAGCCGUUGCACACGAGUCAGUCGAUCCUAAGCCCUAGGAGAAAUCCGAUGCAAACGGCGAUGGGAAACGCACUGAACUCAUUUCUGGUGAGACAGAGACCCAUUAAACGGGCGAAAGGGAAUCCGGUUCCUAUUCCGGAACCCGGCAGCGGAACCGUUGUUUGUCGGGCCCUCACAAGGGGUUCGUCAGGGCAACCUAAAAGGGCCCGGAGACGCCGUCGGGGGCCCCGGAAAGAGUUUUCUUUUCUGCAUGAGCGUUCGAGUUCCCUGGAAUCCUCUCGCAGGGAGAUAGGGUUUGGAACGCGAAGAGCACCGCAGUUGCGGCGGUGCACGGGAAUUCCCGACGGACCUUGAAAAUCCGGGAGAGGGCCACGUGGAGGUGUCGCGCCGGUUCGUACCCAUAUCCGCAGCAGGUCUCCAAGGUGAAUAGCCUCUAGUC
rnacentral:rRNA from 1 species